CAAAAGGUACAUCACUGUUUAUUUUUCUUCCUUCUAGAAAGGAUCUUGUUCGAGUAGAAGCCACAGUCAUCGAAAAGACAGAAUCGUGGCCAAGGAUCAUUAUGAGAUUUAGGAAAAGGAAAAACUUCAAGAAGAAGAGAAUCGUUGUGACCCCGCAGACCGUCCUCCGGAUAAACAGCAUUGAGAUUGCUCCAUGUUUGUCGUGAUCACUGAGUUAAUAUUUACAAAGGUAUAGAAAUAAACUCUUGCUUGCCAAGGAGA